UUUUGCAUGCACUUUUCAAAAUGAUUGACUUAAGCUUCCUGACUGAAGAGGAACAAGAGGCCAUCAUGAAGGUUUUGCAGCGGGAUGCUGCUCUGAAGAGGGCCGAAGAAGAGAGAGUCAGACAUUUGCCUGAAAAAAUUAAGGAUGACCAGCAGCUGAAGAAUAUGAGUGGCCAAUGGUUUUAUGAAGCCAAGGCAAAAAGGCACAGGGACAAAAUCCAUGGUACAGAUAUCAUCAGAGCAUCUAUGAGAAAGAAGAGGCCCCAGGUAGCAGCUGAGCAGAGUAAAGACAGAGCAAAUGGGGCAAAGGAAAGCUGGGUGAAUAAUGUCAACAAAGAUGCUUUCCUUCCUCCAGAGCUGACUGGCGUUGUAGAAGAGCCAGAAGAAGAUGCAGCACCAGCAAGCCCGAGUUCCCGUGUGGUAAAUCUAGCUUCCAGUGUGAUUGAUAUGUCCCAGGAAAACACAAGGAAACCAAAUGUGUCUCCAGAGAAGAGGAAGAAUCCGUUUAAUAGCUCCAAGUUGCCAGAAGGUCACUUGUCGCAACAAACUAAAAAUGAACAGUCAAAAAAUGGAAGAACUGGUUUAUUUCAGACUUCAAAAGAGGAUGAAUUGUCAGAGUCAAAAGAAAAGUCAACUGUCACAGAUACUUCAAUCCAAAAGUUAGAGAAAUCAAAGCAGACUUUGCCAGGCCUUUCAAAUGGGUCCCAAAUCAAGGCUCCAAUCCCCAAAGCUAGGAAGAUGCUCUACAAAUCGACUGAUUUAAACAAAGAUGAUAACCAGUCUUUUCCUAGACAGAGGACAGACUCCCUUAAAGCGAGAGGGGCUCCAAGAGGGAUCCUCAAGCGCAACUCCAGUUCCAGUAGCACAGACUCAGAAACCCUUCGUUAUAAUCACAACUUUGAACCCAAAAGCAAAAUUGUGUCACCUGGCCUAACCAUCCAUGAGAGAAUUUCUGAGAAGGAGCAUUCUUUAGAAGACAACUCUUCCCCAAACUCCCUGGAACCAUUAAAGCACGUGAGAUUCUCUGCAGUGAAGGAUGAGCUUCCACAGAGUCCUGGGUUAAUCCAUGCUCGGGAAGUAGGAGAAUUUAGUGUUUUAGAAUCUGACAGAUUGAAAAAUGGAACGGAAGAUGCAGGGGACACAGAAGAGUUUCAGAGUGACCCUAAGCCUUCUCAAUACAGAAAGCCUUUGCUUUUUCAUCAAUCAACCUCAAGCCCAAAUGUAUCAAAAAGUGAGAUACAUCAGCCAAUGACUUCUGGUUCUUUUCCAAUUAAUGGGCUGCAUUCUCAUUCAGAAGUUUUAACUGCAAGACCACAGUCCAUGGAGAAUUCAUCAACCAUCAAUGAACCCAAAGAUAAAUCACCAGAAUUAACAAGGCUUGAGUCUAUAUUACCCAGAAGCCCUGCUGGUAAGAGAAUUGUCACUACUAGAUUAUAAAAACU
rnacentral:sRNA from 1 species